rnacentral:rRNA from 1 species
GUAAGUGGCAAGCGUUGUCCGGAAUUAUUGGGCGUAAAGCGCGCGCAGGCGGUUCUUUAAGUCUGAUGUGAAAGCCCACGGCUCAACCGUGGAGGGUCAUUGGAAACUGGAGAACUUGAGUACAGAAGAGGAAAGCGGAAUUCCACGUGUAGCGGUGAAAUGCGUAGAGAUGUGGAGGAACACCAGUGGCGAAGGCGGCUUUCUGGUCUGUAACUGACGCUGAGGCGCGAAAGCGUGGGGAGCAAACAGGAUUAGAUACCCUGGUAGUCCACGCCGUAAACGAUGGGUGCUAAGUGUUAGGGGGUUUCCGCCCCCUUAGUGCUGCAGCUAACGCAUUAAGCACUCCGCCUGGGGAUACGGCCGCAAGGCUG